rnacentral:lncRNA from 1 species
ACGGGUUUGAGAGCUGAGCAGUUCUUCCAGCCUGGCCCAGGGUCUCUCAUAUGCCUGUGGCCAUCUAGUUGCUCGGCAGGGGUUGGAUCAUCUCAGGUAGCUCCUCAGUAACAUGUCUGGAGUAUCUACACCCUUUCUUCACAUUUAUAGGCAACAGAAAGAAGUUCUUCACAGGAAGUGACUUGAAUUUAAUUUGCCAUGGACUUCUUCAGCUGGAUACUAGAAAUCCAUUCAUUCUGUACUGAUCCUGCACUGAGUGCCGGAAAGUGCUGAGGCCCGAUAACAAGGGCAGAACACUUGGCCUCAGAGAGUACACAGCAUCUGGCAGAGAAAGAGAUAUACCACGAAUGGGGUGGUUUCGGAGGUUAAGGAAAACUCCCUCCCCCCACACACUGGGGGCACUGAAGAAAUGAAGAACACGAUGCAUCCACUCUCAAGCAGAGAUUCAGAAAAAAGCUAAAGGAGUUGACUUGCUUGAGUGUAUGCACCUGGGAG